rnacentral:rRNA from 1 species
GGUAAUACGUAGGGUGCGAGCGUUGUCCGGAAUUACUGGGCGUAAAGAGCUCGUAGGUGGUUUGUCGCGUUGUUCGUGAAAUCUCACGGCUUAACUGUGAGCGUGCGGGCGAUACGGGCAGACUUGAGUACUGCAGGGGAGACUGGAAUUCCUGGUGUAGCGGUGGAAUGCGCAGAUAUCAGGAGGAACACCGGUGGCGAAGGCGGGUCUCUGGGCAGUAACUGACGCUGAGGAGCGAAAGCGUGGGGAGCGAACAGGAUUAGAUACCCUGGUAGUCCACGCCGUAAACGGUGGGUACUAGGUGUGGGUUUCCUUCCUUGGGAUCCGUGCCGUAGCUAACGCAUUAAGUACCCCGCCUGGGGAGUACGGCCGCAAGGCUAAAACUCAAAGAAAUUGACGGGGGCCCGCACAAGCGGCGGAGCAUGUGGAUUAAUUCGAUGCAACGCGAAGGACCUUACCUGGGUUUGACAUGCACAGGACGCCGGCAGAGAUGUCGGUUCCCUUGUGGCCUGUGUGCANGUGGUGCAUGGCUGUCGUCAGCUCGUGUCGUGAGAUGUUGGGUUAAGUCCCGCA